UUUUGUUGGGUUGAAAAAUAAUUAAAUAAACUUGUGAUCAUACUUAUGGAUCACCAUGGCACAUGUCAUCAGCCAUAUGAUUUAUUUACGCAGAUGAAAAAAGUGAGUGUGAAUGUGCCUGACGUCACAGUGUGUGUGCGUUGUGUAAAACUAAUUGCCUCCAAUUGUGAGAAUGGUGAUUCUGCAGGUCACCAGUUAUUUAAAAAAAAAAAAAAAAAAAAAGACUAAAAAGAGACGAAAUUAAAAUUGCAGAUGAAAAAUAAUAGGAAAAAGGUUUUGUGUUUAUCAGCCAAUAACAACUACAAUCUCAUUUUCUGCUUUUAAGAAAGGAGAAUUCAAAAAACAGAGAGAGAUGUGUGUUGGUUAAGCAGUGAUGAUAAUAAUGAAAAUGUCUUAGUUUUGUCACUUUCAGAUUAAAAGCAGACCUGAAUCAAUUUUCCACAUGCAGCAGUCGGAAGAAAGUUAUAGUUUAACACCACUGGAAAUGUUCAGGCCAGUUUCUGGCUAACUUAUUUACAGCACCAUGUGUCCCUCAACCUCACAAGCGAGAUCUCACUCCUCCCUGAAGACAAGGAAUGCAGUUCCAAAGAGCAAUAACAUGGCAGAUAAAGAGACAGCAGCAAAGUCCUGAGCAAAGAGUCCCAGCAAGCAGCAGCAGUGUGGACAAACAGCAUCGGAGAAGAAGAGCAAACCCAUCAUCCUGACUGAUUGGAUGAAUGACACUGUAUUUCCAACAAGCUGCAAAUUCACUGUGCUUGUGAAAAGAACGUUUGAAAAGAACUGAGGAGACUGUUGGAGUUUGACAUUUUUCACCUUUGGAGAAAAUGGCAAGAAGAGACAGUGGAACACAGGACAAAGCUGAAGAAGAACUGCCGGUUGUUGGACUGUUGAAGUGGGAGAGGACAACAGAGUGAGAGGAGACUUGAGAUAUGACUGCACUAUGCUGUUGCUGGUGACCACAGUUAAUUCUACAAGACAUGCUGUGUAGGAGAGACGAGUCCUCCGUCACAGAUGGUGUGGUCAGUGAAGAUGGUCGCCUGCAGGUUCAAGCUCAUUGCAUCUCCAACCCACAUCCACUGCCACUGUACUUAAGGGAAGUUAAAGACUUUCUUCUGCACCUACAUUUGGAUCACCUCGAUCCAUGACAGUCAUUCAGGCAGUAAUGCCUGGACUGGAAACAAGCCAUCCUUAAAAUAAUACAACAUUCCAGCUCAUGUGUUGGAAUGGAAAACAAAUGUGUUGUUUAAAUUAGAGACUGCACUUGUGACAGAACAAUAAAUAUUUUAUUUUGAUUAUAUAAGUAAUGUAAGUACAAAACAAACUUGUGGUAGGCC
ensembl:lncRNA